rnacentral:lncRNA from 1 species
UUUUUGUUUUGUUUUGUUUUUUAUUUUUUUAGGGCCGCACCUGUGGCAUAUGGAAAUUCCCAGGCUAGGGGUGGAAUCAGAGCUACAGCAACUAGCCUGCACCACUGCCACAGCAAUGCCAGAUCCUUAACCCACUGAGUGGUUAAGGCCAGGGAUCAAACCCACUAAGGCCAGGGAUUGAACCCAAAUCCUCAAGAAUACCUGAUGAGUUCUUAACCCUCUGAGCCAUGACAGGAACUCCUGGGUUUUGGUAGCUUUAAAAGCUUCUCAGUUGAUUCAAAUGAACAGCCAAAGUUGAGAACCACUAGGCCAAUAUUUUGAUAGAAUAUCAACCACUGAACUAAUGUUUGAAAGACUAUCAAACUUAUGUGCAUGUGACUCAUUAAUUAAUCUUUGAGAAAUCGGAAUAAUCAAGCGAGGUAAAAGUUAAUUUCAUUUUCUGUCAAGAAUGAAGCCUCCCCAUUGUAGCAAAGUUAAUUAACAUGGUUUGUUCCUUUAACAAAUAUUUGGAGCGCAGCACGGUCUUAGAUAUUCAUAAAAAAUAAAAACAGGAGUUCCCAUUGUGGCUCCGUGGAUGAAUGAUCAGGUGCUGCUGCAGCUAUGGCAUAGGUCACAGAUGCAGCUCGGAUCCAGUGUUGCUGUGGCUCUGGCGUAGGCCUACAGUUGCGGCUCUGAUUCGACCUCUAAGCCCUGGGAACCUCCAUAUGCCACAGGUGUGGCUGUAAAAAGAAUAAAUAAAUAAAUUAAUUAAAUGAGUAGAAAAAUUUAUCCUGUCCUUUACAGAUAUAAGAAACAUCCAGGCAAUAAGCAAGUCAUUUCUCUGAUAGGAAGGAACACAUUUAACAUAAAUAUUAUGCAAAUCAAAGCAAGAUAAACAUUGAUGGGAAGAAGAGUAAUUAGAGAAGCCUUGGAGGAGGUGCAGAGAGCUUAGAGGGCGAGCAGAAAGGGAGAAAUGCCAGGAGAGAAGUUCCGGAGGCCACAAUUAAUGAAACACUUAUUGAGAAAGGAUACCAAUUUGGUUGAACUUGAAAGCCAGCAAGGAAGAUUUCUUAAGAGGUCAGUUGGUCAGUGGAAUAAGGAAAAGUUAAAUCUGACCGACAAUUCAUUGUCACUGAUGACUGUAUAACCAGUCAAUCCAAUUUCAGCUUACCACAUAUUACAUUCCUGAAAACAUUAUCUCAUAAUACCACGACAUAAAUAAAAUUAAAUAGAACUAGGGGACAGGAAAGGGUCUGUUGCCGACUGGUGUCAAAUCCUGGUACACAUUAAUUUCUCAGGAUAUUAUUUAUGAAAUUAGAGUUUCAUUAGAUGACUUCAGAGGGGUUUUUUCACUCUUAAAAAUUUAUGACUACUUGAUUCAGCCUUUCGGCACCUUUAUGAGUUUCCGCCAUAAUAUUCCUAGUAUUCUAAUUGCUAAAACUGAGUCCAUGCUUGUUAGUCCUUGGCAAAUGUGCCUCGAGUUGUUUAACAUUGAUUGACUGUCCACAGUGGGGCUCUCAAAUUAAGCACACGAAGUGGGCUCUGCUCUUCAGGAGUUUUUAUUUAUCCAAGCGCUGGAAUGUGGGUCAGACCUAUUUGCAUCUCGCUGGCUCGGAAUCCCAUCCAAACACCUCUUGGGAAAACCCAGCACUUUGGGUGGCAAUGCUGUCAUGUGGUGAAAGAACCUGGAUUGGGACUUGGAAAACCUAGUGUUUAGUCCUUACUCACGGUGUGAGUCUCAGAAGCUAAUCAUUGGUCAAAUUUUUAAAUUCCUUCUGGGAACCAGUUUUUUUGUUUUUGUUUUUAUGUCAGAGGAAAACUUGAAAGCCAAGAGGCUCUGCUUGCCCUCUUUGAGCACGGAUUUUUUUCUCAACUGUGAUGAACAUAAUAAUACCUAGUUGGCAGACUCUCAUAAGGGUUAAAGGAGAUGGCUGUCAGAGGGGCCAGCACAGCAGACCUGGCAUGGAGUUGCCCCUCAAAUGUGAGCUGAACUGGAAUGAAAAAUGCAACCUACCUCACGAUGAUGUUGGAAGAUUUGGAGAUAAAGGUCAUGUUAUUCUUACUGAUGCACAGAUGCAUGAGUUUUGUUGCUGGUGUUGUUUUUAACAACAGGAAAGUAAUUCCAACACAGCGCUUUGAUCUUUAAAACCUUGAAGGUAACGUCUUUAACACUGACGUGCUUUGACGUGAGACAGUUUGGGGACAGUGACUGUUAAAUAUGUGUGUCUGUAAAUAAGGAGCCUAAAACACUAAACACACACACAUCAGUGUCUUUGCAAUUAAGCUUUUGAGAGUCACGGCAGAGGAAAUAUAUUCUCACAACCCUUCUUGCCACCACUUCCUUUUUAACUCUUUAAGCAGUAAGGCAUUAAUUUACUUACCAACAUUUGAUUAAACUCUUAAGGUUCCACCCUAGGAGGAGGUAGCUGUGGACAAAGGAUUAUUGUCAUUCAUCAUCAACACAGUUUAGUCUUCCCCUCCAGUUGCCUAUGAAGGAUUAGCAUUUCUCUGAAAGGAGGAGGACAGAAUAAAUUGCAUCUCUCGCCAAAGAACUGCCAGCUCCUUUCAGCUGGGGGCACAUACCGGGAGCUUUUCCCAUAUUAGUCAGCUUUAUCUCAACUUUUGGGCAGUGCCUACAUCUGACUUUCAUGGGUUUCAGGGUCAGUCAAAACAGAAUUGUAGGGUUGUUGAGGUCAGAGGCCACUGCUGUCAAAGGGGAGUGACCUGAACAGCAAGAGGUAGCCAGCCCCACCCCCUGUCCAAUGACUUCAUUCCAGCGAAUACUUGGCUCAUUGCAUCUCCCCUGCAGAGCUUUUUGCUUUUUUUUUUUUUUUUUGGACCUAGUAAUAAAAAUCCUCCUGUGACCUGGUAUUUUUCUUUUUUUACAUUAUUAUCGAUUUUCUUUUGUUCCUGUUUCUCUAUGGAAUGACCAAGUUCUGGUCCUUGAUAAUGUAUGGGUUUGUAGGUGCCCUGGGAAAUGACGGAGAGAAAGCUAGUCUGCUGUUACCUUAUAGUGACUGGAAUGCCACCUGGGUGCCCAGCUUAGAAAGUGCUUUCAUUUAACACACACACACACACACACACACACACACACACACACACACGUUUCCCAGAACUCCUGAAACUCUCUUCAACCCCAUUAGGUUCUCUUACCACAGUCCAUGUUGAUUUAAAAACUGCAAAACUGCUUAGGAGAGAGGAACAGGGAUGGGGUGGGGUGGAAACAAAAGUAGGAAGGAGGAAGAGGGCAGGGUGCUAUAGCAGAAAGAGCACAGACUCUGGAGUAGGGCAGUUUAGUUUGCAAAUCCCAGUUCUGCCACUUCCUCUGCAUGACUUUGGCAGGGCACUAAAUAGCUCAGAGUCUCUGUCUCUCCACCUGUAAACAGAAAUGAUGAUACCAAUGCACUGCAGGGAGCUCGUGAGAAGAGGAGAUGCUGCUGCUGAUGGGCCUGGCACGUAGCAGACCCCCAGAGAUGGGAACCUCUAGAGACUGAGGCAGAGCUGUUUUAGGAAUGGACCACAUAUCACUCGGCAUGAGAUGGGGAAAACGCGUCUCCUCCUUUAAAGCUUGUCGUUCUGUCUUAACUACAUUUCAGUUCCUAUGAAGACAGUAUGCAGUUUCCAAGAGGUGUAGCUCGGGCCAAGACAUUUUGCAUACCAUCUCUGGUGGAAGCAAUGUUUGGCAGCUCUUUGAGAAUCCACUCUUCUAAACUUCUCUCCGUGGCUCUCCCUUCUAACACGAGGCUGUAACACAUAUCAAGGAUCAGCACGGCGGCUGUUUCUGAGGCUGAUUCUCUCACCCCUGCUGUCACGGUCAGACCUCAUUAUUUUUCAUAAUAGUCCUUAAACAACUGGUUUUAGCCCUGCAGGCAUUUAUGAUGACAAAGGGAGGAAUAACACCGGGGAGCCCCAUUUCUCCCGCCCACCCUCUCUCUUCACCCACACUCUCUUCCUAGCAACAGCUCUUUUCUCAACUCUUGGGCCUACGUCUUCCGUCCCACCUACACCAGUAGCAGCAAAAUAUGGGGGUGAGAAGGCUGGGGGGGUGGGGAGGCGAGGUGCAGGAGGGGGAAUGGGGGAAGAGCUUCAGGGAGGAGGCUGAUGAAGCACAAAAGGUUCUGACCUCCUUGGAAGAAGAGGAAACCACAAGGGCUGGCUUAGCUUGGGAGGCUGCCAAGGAACUGAAGCAGAGAAGGUCCAGGUUAGGAGGGCAGGCGGCAAAGUGCUAGGGAGGUGGGCUGGGCUGGAGGGCAAACAAGAGUACAGUCAGGGGAGGACUUGUCAGCUGGGGGAGAGACUGUAAAACUGUGGAUUAUCGGCAUCUGCCACCCUUCUCCACUCUGGACCGACUGGAACCCUGUGAAAAAGAAACUUGGGAUGUACAUCAGGGAAGAGCAGUCCCUGGAUCUGAGAACUUCAAGGUGGAAGGGUCAUGCCUCUCAACCUUGGCUGCAUAUCAGAGCUACCUGAGGAGCUUAAAAGAAUACUGAUAACCCCAUCAUAUUCCAGGUCAAGUGUUGAAGUGUGUGGGUGCCACCUAUCAGUAUUUUUACAGAGUUGACAGAGUAACUGUUAUGAGCAGCCAGAGUUGAGAACUGCUGAGGUCCAAGCCUACUUACAGCAGGAAUGUUCCUUCUCCAACAUCUUUGGUGGAACCAAGAGUUAAUUUCAAUUUUAUCUCACUUUGAAGUCAAUACAUAUAUCCAUCUUUUUCUUUUCUUUUUUUCUUCUUUUUCUGUCUUUUUGCCUUUUUCUAGGGCCGCACCCACGGCACAUGGAGGUUCCCAGGCUAGGGGUCCAAUCAGAGCUGUAGCCGCCGGUCUACGCCAGAGCCACGGCAAUGCCAGAUCCAAGCCGCGUCUGCGACCUACACCACGGCUCACGGCAACACUGGAUCCUUAACCCACUGAGCGAGGCCAGGGAUCGAACCUGCAACCUCAUGGUUCCUAGUCGGAUACGUUAACCACUGAGCCACGACAGAAACUCCGAUCCAUCUUUUUCUUUUAAGCGUCUAGUGACGAUGAUUUGCACACUUCAAAUGACUAAAUCUGACCUCUGUGGCUCGGGAGACCUACAGCUGCCCCUCCCCACGCCCUUUCCCCUGUGUAAAGGGAGUGUUGAGAUGAUCCCCUUUCCAGGAUUUAAUUUUUUGAAAAACACUUCUGAUUCUUCCUUUAAGAGCUAUGAGAAGCUGCAACAAAUAGCCUGCUGCUUUUUGCUCUUUCCUUCUCCAGCUUCACUUCAGACACUUGGAUUGAUGUCACUUUAAAGCAAACAGGCAAAUCUGGAGGGAGGGGGAAAUAGCAGCAAACUCCUAUCCCCAGCCCAGUGGCGGAAGAGAGAGGAGGGCUGGAUCUGAUGAGGGGGUGUUGUUUGCUGAUGGUGGAGCAGGUACAUGGGCUCAGCUUAUGGGCAUGAACCUCAGGGCCAUUUCUUUAGCACCAGCUGGUGGAGCCAUCGCCUUCUGUCUCGUGGCUGCCACCCUGAAUCAGUGCCCAGCUGCCAGUCUGUUCUUUGUUUUCCCUAAGCCCUCCACCCUCCUCACCCAGAUCUGCCGGCCCUGGUCCAUCAGCACACAGACUAUAAUGCGGGAUGUCAUAGUCAUAUAGCCCGCCUGCUCGAGGUCCAGAGUGGGGAGAUGACCCCUCCAAGGUCACAUGGCGGCAAAGCCAAGGCUCCCUUUCAGUUCUCUUUCCAUGAUUUCAGCCUCUCUCCCCAGUGAGGUUGGAUGGCAGACAUUUCUGAUUGGCCUGUAACUGGGCUGCAGUCGCUGAGGGGCCACAGAUCCCCUUUCUUUCCAGACCUGGGCUACACUAGAGGCCUGACAAGGACACAGCAGGACGGAUGCUGAGGACGCCACAGGCCCCCGACGUGGGUGAGCCAUCCUGGCCGCUGUUCAUGACUUCAGCCAGUUUCAAGCUGGCAGAGUCCUUUUCAGAAAGAGUCCUAAAGAGGGGAGUGUCCCUUUAUUGCCAAGACUCCUCUGGUUCUCCCUCUGACAAGCGGCUGGCCCUCCUCCCAGCUGCCAACCUUGCCCAUUCCCAUUCUGGUGACAGGCUAGGAACCAGCAGAGGGAGAGAAGGUGCAGUUGAGUCCUGAGCUCAUGGCAGCUGUUGUCCUGACCUAGUCAGAUCCCCUUCUGUUCUCAAGUGGAAGCUUUAACAAUUGGGAACACAGGCAGUAUGUUCGGCUCUCAAGAGACGGGUACCUUGUGCUCGAGAGAGAACACCCUGGGGCCACUUGCCCUCAUCUAACACUGCCUUCUUCCUACAGUGUUUUGGCUGUGCUGUGACAAGGAGGCACACAUUCCUUUGCAAAGUUCUUGGAGCAACUACUAUAUUCUCUGGAUACAGGCCCUUGCUGAUUGUGACGAUUUUUGCAUAAAUACCUGUGCAUUUAAAGAGCUACUGGUUGCUACUUGUACACGGACAUGGUUUAUUAUGUGCUGCUGCUACCUGGCUAGAGAAUUUGGCAAGUGCUUAAUUUUUUGUGCUUAGUAGCACAAACCCUUUCAUAUAUGGAGCACAAGCUUUGGGUUGCAAGAGAGCAAUAGGUCUGGUUAUUCUCAGGCUUAUUUUCAGUGACUAAAUAUGAAAUUUCCUUCUUCUCCUCCUUUAUUUUCCUCAUAUAAGCCAACUAAUGGACCUUGGCCGAAAGAUCAAACUAAUUUACCAUCAGAGGGUGAAACCCAACAUCUGCUCUCUUUUGGUAGACGAGCAUAGCUAAUUUUUUUUUUUUCAAAAGGGGAUGCUAUGUAAAAUGUAUAAUUUUAAUCCUAAAAUCAUUUUCAGGUAUAAGAAUGUUAUGUAAUAGCAAGUAAGAGCUUGGCUUUAAAAAUAAA